AGAGAAAUACAGUGGACCCUUGACUUAUGAACUCAAUUCAUUCCCAAAGGCUGGUUGUAACUCUGGUCAACUGAAGGCUCAGGCUCCUCCACACAGCCUUCAAAGUCUCUCUCCUGUAUACGGGCAGAUCUCAGUGUUCUUAGAGAGACACCAGCCCAGGAUUCCUCAAUUAACCCCAUAUAGGAAAGGAUGUUGUAAUGUUCCUUCCAGAACUCUUUAAGGGUUAAAUCUGUAUCUGAGACCACUUGGAAGUACAAGUGGCCAGCAUGUGUAACUCAAGGGUCUACUCUAACUGGAGUCUUAUAGCCAUGGUCUUCAAAGUGAGGACCCCAGACCACCAGCAGCAACAUCAAUCAGAAACUUAGAAAUGCAAAUUCUUGGGCCUCAUCCCAGAUCUACUGAAUCAAAAAUUCUGGGACUGGAACCAAGUAAUUAGUAUUUAGGUAGCCUUCCACGUGAUUCUGAAUCCUAUUAAAAUUUGAGGACCACUACUUUAGACUUUAAAGAGAACAUAAUUACCUUUCAUCUUGGAUUGUACUUCUCAGAUAAUCUAUCCUAUAAGCACUUAUGUCCAUGUCAACUUCUUUAAGAAUGGGAGCUACCAAAAAGAUGGCGGCGGUUACAGAGCCCACUGCCUGGCUGGCGGUGUGGGGCGGAAGACUGCGGCGCAGGCUUACUGCCAGCCGACUGGCCGUGCCGAACCCGGGUCCCUUGGCAGCGGCAGUGGCCACCGUGGCCCUGGCAGGGGCAGGAGCAGCCUGGCAUCGUGGCCACGUGAAUGUCGCGGCACGCGAAGACAUCCUCACUGCCUCCGCACAGAAAAACAUUGACCAUGGAGCAGUAGAGAAACUCUCCCUUCGUAAGCAGCAGUUCAUGCAAUUUUCUUCGCUGGAACAUGAAGGGGAAUAUUAUAUGACACCACGAGACUUCCUCUUUUCAGUAAUGUUUGAGCAAAUGGAACAUAAAACUUCAGUCAAGAAGCUGGCAAAAAAGGAUAUCGAGGAUGUAUUGGCAGGAAUCCAAAAGGCUGGUUGUGGAUCAACCUUUUUUAGAGACCUUGGCGAUAGAGAACCCCAUACCUGGGUUUCAUGUGGCUUUUAAAAUGCUAGAUACAGAUGGCAAUGAGAUGAUUGAGCAAAAUGAGUUUUUUAAGCUGCAGAAGAUCAUAAGUAAACAAGAUGACUUCAAGAUAAUGAAAACUAAUGAAACAGAAUGUCAGGAUCAAACAGUGAAAGAAUCUGAAAUUGACACAACCCUUCAGAUGCAUUUCUUUGGAAAAAGAGGACAAAGAAAACUUCAUUAUAAAGAAUUCCGAAGAUUUAUGGAAAAUUUACAAACAGAAAUUCAAGAAAUGGAAUUCAUUCAGUUUUCCAAAGGUUUGAAUUUCAUGAGGAAAGAAGACUUUGCAGAGUGGCUACUUUUUUUCCACUAACACUGAAAAUAAAGACAUUUAUUGGAAAUAUGCAAGAGAGAAGUUGUCAGCAGAAGAGAGCAUUAGUUUGGAUGAGUUCAAGUCAUUUUGCCCUUUUACGACCCACUUGGAAGACUUUGCUAUUGCCAUGCAAAUGUUUAGCUUAGCUCAUCAACCUGUCAGACUAGCAGAAUUUAAGAGAGCAGUGAAGGUAGCUACAGGACAAGAGCUUUCAAACAAUAUUUUGGACACCGUGUUCAAGAUCUUUGAUUUGGAUGGUGAUGAAUGCCUUAGCCAUGAAGAGUUUCUUGGGGUGUUAAAAAACCAGGAUGUAUCGAGGUUUAUGGCUACCACAACAGAGUAUAUAAGAAUACUGAAAUGUGUGAAAAAAGAAAGCAUUAAAGGAGUAAAAGAAGUCUGGGAAAGUCCUUUUUUAAAAAGAGAUAACAUGGAAAUUAUGUUGCUCCAAAUGUCAGGAUCUGAGAUUUUUUUUCCACAGCAUUAGCUACUUUUCUGAAGUCCUCAUUGACUUCCUUUGUAAUAUAAAAAUGCUAUGUACCUGCUUUCUGAUUCAAUGAUUUCUUGAUAUGUUUUCAUUAAAAAACUUAGCGGAAAGAAAAAGAACUACAAUACCAUUUUACAAAAACAAACAUUGGAUUCUUUCAGAAGGCCUAAAUUCUAAGUAACAUUUUAUGCUUUGGUUAGACACCUAGUUGUUUGCUGAAUUCUUAGAAGAGGGUGAUAUGCUUUCUGGAAAGGCAGUGCUUGCUUCGGCAGCACAUACACUAAGUUGAAAGAGUAAACAAAGCACCUGACUCACAGGCCAGUAUCAAUUCCAGAAGUUGUGGUAUUCCUAGUAGGAUAAAUGAAAUUAAAAACUAAUUUCAGAUUGCUUGCAUUGGUGUUAUAGCUAAUAAAUUUCUUGUAUGUUUUAUUUCAGUUACCUUAGCUGUAUAUUGUCUUAAAAUAAUAUGUAAAUGUCAGUAAUGAAAUGAAAAUAAAGUGUUUGCAUAGAUACAAAAAAAAAAAAAAAAAAAAGUAAAAGAAUGGGAGCUACCAAGGGCAGGGCCAAGGGCCUAUUCAUCUCUCCAUUUUUCAAACCCCCUACCUCAGAAUCUGGUGCAGAGCAAAACUAACAAAUGCUAGCUGAAUGAAAUGGCAUCUCUCACAGAAAUUUCCUGUGUUUGUGAAUGUAACAGGCCUUUCUGUAAGAGAUGCUUCCAGCUUAAUAUCUGCAAAGAUGAAUCACGUCUGAGAUAUUAGUUCUAAUGGGAAUUACCAUAUGGAUGAAUCAUGUUGUAAUGAGAAAACCUGGCUGCCAAGGAAGGCUCUUGAAAAUAAAAAAUCAAAUCAGGAGAAAUGGAUUAUGUUGUUAGGCUUGUGAUGUCAGGCCAUGUAUUAGGUGCACUGAAGGGACUUAAUGGCCUGAACUACCAGGCUCCUUGCAGCUCUAAGAAGCAACGGGUCAACUAAUGAAUCAAAUGGGGACAAAGCCACUAAAGACAAAACAAAACUUCACAAAUCCUAUACUCUGCAAUCCCUGGCUCAGAAGCUACAAGGCAGUGUUCUUGUUAAGCUGUGAACAUGAGAAGCUAUGAGGAACAGAAAGUUCCUGACAUCCUACCUCUCCAAGGUGAUGCAGGUGCACAGCAGGUGGAAGGGACAAGGCCAACCUCCAGGACCAGGAUGGUUGAUCCCUGUGCCCCAAUCCUUUGUUGCCUGACUGUCCUACUUUCUAACCACUCUCCCUCUGCCCAGCUGUAAAAGAGCAGAGUUGCCUCUAUCUUCCUGGUUCCUAGGGGGCUCUGCCUGGGUCAAUGCUUCUGGAACAGUGCUCCAUUUCUCUCUUGGACUUUCUUUUAUUUUGAUAUUUACUUUAUUAUUCUUUUUCUUUUAAAUUAACAUAAUUACGCAUAUUUUGAGGAUAUAAUGUGAAAU
rnacentral:lncRNA from 1 species